rnacentral:lncRNA from 1 species
GUUCAGGCAGAAUUUGGUUGCAUGGGGCUGGCGUAGUAGCGACCCUCCAAGGGAACAUUGGGUGGAGGAGACAUUUUGAUAGCUCUGGGCCACAGAGUCUGCCGGGUCUGGCUGGGAAUGUGCGCAGGAGUCCUCAACCAGAGAGCCGUGAAAUUGGUGGUCUCUAUAUGGGGCUAGCCAUGGAGGCAGUGAGAGUAGCCGGGCCAGAGAGUAGCCGGGGAUAGCGUGGGAUGGGUGCAUCCUAUUUUUAUUAUUUAACUCAACAGGAAGGGGUAUGUCAGAUGAUCAUAACAUGGCUCGAACUUUUGAACUAUUUGAGCAUCAUGCACGUUUGCCUGAAACACGACAACGUAUAUGUGUACGCAACAGGUAGACAGACCGCCUGCUGUGUACCAUAAGCUGGGCUCGGCAGAGCUGUUUGCAAGGGCUCUCUGUGUGCACGGCAGAUUACAGAAACCGUGCUGGUGGCAUCCAGCAGGGCAGAGGCAGUCAGAUGGGCUCUGCUGUAAUCAGUGCUUGAGUCUGCCCGCCCGCACAGCUUUCUAGCCAUGGGUUGCAACAUACCCCAUGCUAAUGUUUUACAUGAAUUUCUUACUUUAACCCAGCAGCCUUCCUAGUGGAACAUCUUGAGAACAGAGAAGAUGAGCCCAGAGAACCACUGAGGUACCCCAAGUCAGUAGCCCCUACCGGAUCUCACAGGGUAGAGUACCAUAGAGGUACUGUGACACCGGGCUUAGCAGAUUUACCCACUCUGUCUGUUUUGGCUGGUCCUACAACUAUUUUGAAGUUGGAGAACUGUAAGUAGAUUGGUCUUUCCUUAUUUGGCUCAAAGCUGCCGAGUUUUGGGGAGCUAUGAUCUUUCCAGGGGUAACUCUAGGGACCUGUGUGUAGAUGUAGGCAGAUGCCAGGGUUGACACUGUGGGCCCCAGCUGCUGAAGCUAGCUCUCUGAGAUUCCAGUGUUGGGCUCUGCCAGACUAAUGGACUAUUGCUGCCCAAGCAGCUCUCCCAGCCAAGGCCACGUCCUUACCAACUGUGACCUGGAGCCAACCUGGUGGCCAGAGGACAUAGAGCAAAUCCACAGUCUGCAGCCCCCUCAACAUGAGAUGGAGAACCACCUCAACUGUAUGACAAAUUCAGGAAUUCCCCAGCUGGGCUCCUCUCUCUCCUGCUGCAGACCGACAGGGGUUCGGGUCUGAGACCUCGGUGGUCAGGCCAGGCUGCAUUCACACUGACUCCAAGUGGUUUAGUUAGAGACUCAGAACCACUAAGUGCCCUGGCUGUAGAGUUUUCUGAUGCCAUGUGAGAUGAUCAAGGCCCUCUUUCUAUGGCAUGUGAAGCCACAAACAUCACCUGGCCGUCUUGCAUCGGUGUAAGGAGACCUUAGGAGUUGCACAAAACUCUGUGGAACGAGUGGACCUUGCCACCAGACAGAAGAACGGGUAUGGUUGAGUGAGCCCAAACCACGUGAAUCUCAGAACUGAGAACGGUAGACAUGGGCCUGACUCCCUGCCUAACUCUACCUGCUCUGGAACCGAUAACUGUAACAUCCCCUUGAGAGGAUCGUGACGAUGACUCAUGUACGGUCGCGUAGCAUGAAAACCCAACAUAUGAUAGAGAGUGUUGGUAUUCUGUCUAAGCUCCACCCCCACAGCUACCUGGCAACAGCCAGCUGUGCCUGACUAUGUAAGGGGCUGUUUGCCCCUCCUCCCUCUCUUACCCCCUCUUGCUCUUUGUUCUUCGCUGCUCUUGCUCCCUCCCCCAUUCCCAUCCCCCCCUCCACGUGCCCAUGGCCGGCCGCCUUUCCGCUCUUCUACUCUCA